CAAUGUAAACAGGAUACCACAGCUGUUUUCCUUUUUUUUAAAAAAAUAUUUUGUUUUCAAAUGAAUGUAAAGUAGAUAGGCCACAUAAAAGGUCUAAGGCAAUCAUUGUCUUUUAUGUCACAAAACUGACGUUUCUACUGAAGUGUCUAACUUUUUAUACCCACAGUGUGUGUGUAGGUGUGUGAUCAAUGGUAUUUGAUACAUUAUAAGGACCAUUUGGUAACACAUGGAGACCAAAGACUCCACAACAAAGAGCUGUUUUAGGACCAAGGUGUGAAGUGAGAUCAAGGAUGGGGUUAGGGAUAAUUUAAAGAAUUAAAGUCAAUGGAAAGUCCCUGCAAAAAUAGAGAAAUGUGUAUGUGUGUGUUUACUUCUGUAGCUAUUCUAUUUAGGACUAUUUCUGGCAUAUUUGCUAACCUUCUGAAGACCGAUGGGCCUUAUGGAAACCAAUGGCUGGUCAGGUUUAGAGGUAAGGUGUGAAUUCAGUUUUAGUUAAGGUUAUGGUUAGGAAUAGACUAGUAAUGUUUAGGGUUGAGGUAAAUGUCUGUUUCAGGCAUAAAUGCAGUUACAAAUAAAUGCAUAAAUGCAGAAUGGAGGGCAAUGCAAAGUCUUAAUAUGGGUAGAAAUACAAACGCGAGUGUGUAUGUGCUUGAACAAGAUGUUAUUUGUUUUAGUUGGAACUAUAUAGAUCAACUGAAUUGAACAAAUGCCAAUUUCCACCCUGUGUGUUCCUUAGAGAUGCUGGAACCGUUGAAACAGAGAAUCGUGGGAAUACCAUCCGAGUGGAAUUGUGGGAUUCCAUGGAAAAGAAAGCGAUAGUUAUGUUCCUAUACGUUUUCUGUUACUCUGCAACAAGAUUGCACCUGCCUGUGUCGUUCUACGUGAUUCAUAAAGGGGAUUAUAACGCACUUGCUCAUGUGAAACCUGUUUAUUGCGCCUGUAUCUUUUUCUUUCUUCUGCAAACUGCGUUGUUGGCCGUAAAUUCUGAUUCAGCUCGACUAUUGACAACAGCAACUUGAAAAAGCCUCCGGCUCGUCAUCCGUCUUUCCCAAGUAACUCAUCUCCACCCGUUGGAGAUCAUUGCCCCUCCAGGCGGCCGUUGCAGGCAGAAGCUUGAGCGUUGCCACACCAUUGCUCUUUAUUGGGUUUUCAGGAAUGAGGAAGUAUGAGAGGCAGCGUCUUUACGGGAAGCCAGCCAGGCUGGGAGGGAGGGGCGAGUGGGAAUGCACGUGGGCAGAGAGGUUAUGACAAAUAUUUGUUAUGACACACAGGAAGAGAAAACAAACGAAAAAAGAAAAAAAACGAAACUGUGCAAAAGGUGGAAAGAUUUAAUUACAUUUGAGCCGGGCUAAUCACAUUUCUCAUCUUGCUCACCGUGCCGUUGGUCUACCCACCCAGCCUUUUCAUCACCGCCAUCAUCAUCAUUGUCGCUGUUGCUACUUGCAAGCUCUUGGCAAGGCAAUACCAACUGCUUAUUGUGAAAGUAAUUCUAUUUGGCAAAAGCCUGGAACUGUACAGAGAAGGAAUUACUGUAGCUGGAGGCAAUAAUACACCGUGUUCCGUUUCACAAUGCCAUCAAAAGAAAACACGUUCCACUUUUUUGGCAGAACUGACAAAUACUACCACAUGGAGAACAAACACACAGUUUACCCUUCCUGGAGCAAAUUAUUGAUCCAGACUGCAUGUUCUCCUCCCCUUUGUAGUCACUACACCGACACUUUUUUUCCCCCCUUCAAGUCCAGAUCCUCUUCUGGCUGGGACUGUUUGUCCUGGGAUGACAGGGAGUGGGAGCAUGCUAGUGUCCCUUGGCUAACAGAUCUUGGCAGAAGCCGGCGCGGUGUGCAGCGCGGUGAGUCAGGUUGGGAGGAAUGCGGCACUCCCACAACAUCCAGCAAGGUUCUCACAUAGGGACGGACGCUGGAAGAGGGGCUGACCUUCACAAGAUUCCUCUUCCUAAUCCCAUCUGGUUUAACGCCUAAAUCCUGACUGGGUUCCAAAAAAGGUCCUCCCUGCUGACCCAGUCUGGCCGUUUUCCCCAGGCUUGCAGGAGCGACACGACCACGGAAGGCCACGGAACCGUGGGAUCCGCUUUGACUGUUGAGAGAGCGCUGAGGUGGGGCAGAAAGCUGCCCUGCCUCGCCCUCCCUCUCCCAUUACACAGCUGAGUCAUUCACAAAAAUGUGAAAACAAAGUCAACAACAGAACGGCCCUCCUGGGACUGUAAGCUGAGUAAGAAUGACAGAUGGAUUUACUCACACAUGAAAACACAGGAAAGCAUUCCCAUUCAGUGAAGCGAAGCGGCUCAUAAAGAAAAGGUGUGAAUCAUCUUUUUAUUAGUACAUUUUAUGCUCUGCUGCUUUCUUUUUUUUUUUUGCAGGACAAAUACAGUUGGUAAAAACUAGAGCUACUCUAAGAAAGCUCUAUUUUUGGAUGUAGCGUAUCGACGUCUAUCAUUAACAUUGCAACAAAAAAAGAAGCAACACUAAUAAAAGGAUGACUACGUUCAAUUCUAAGUUGUUUUUGUGUUGGUCUUUCAGUUAGUCGUGGGUGAGGCUCAGUGAAACUGCAGUGUAUUGUUGUGUUGUUACUUUCGUUUCUCUGGUAUUGUGUGUGUGUAUAAAGUGUGUAGGACAAUAAAUAUUCUCUAUAGAGAAACCAAGGCUGCACUGAGAUGCAUUGGCUUGUAGUUGUACCUCAUAAAACAUUUCUCCAUUGUCAAGUAUGACUUUAUCUGGUUACCAGCUGCGUAUCCAUUACAAAUGUGCACAAGUCUUUGUCUAGAUUACUACCCUGAAAAAAUAAAAAUUUUGCAAUUGCAGUGCUUCCAUCAAAUAAGAAAUUAAAUUAAAAUCACAUGUGAAUAAGCUUAUUCAUGCGAGAAGUCAUUAAAAAUUAUGGCAGAUCAGUCAAAAUUCAAUCAGACAGUUGUAUUUAAAUAUAUUAAUAUUUCAGCCAUGGCGCUAUCAGUCAUCAGCGUCUUAUUCAUUCGUUGGAGUGACAAGCCCCUUAUACCUAGGAGUGGCUACAGAAGAGCGAUGGAUUCAACAUGUUGGAAAGACGCAACGUUUUAUGAACUGUGUGCUGCUUUAUGACCUGCUGGAGCCUGUCUUCUUUGUCGUUUUUGACAGCAGUAACAUUCUAGCACAAAAACCAUUUAUGACAAAAAUAAAUAAAAAAAUCAAUUUUUUUUCUAAAUUGAUGUGUUUCCAUUAAACAAUUUUAUUUUUGUGAUUUCAAUUUGCACAAUUUUGUGCUUGAUGGAAACGGAGCUAGCGUCAGGUUUGGAGUAUUUCCAUCUCAGUCCGUUCCUCACUGUUGUUGGCAGGAACGUGGGCAGGAACGUGGGUCAGCGCAGAAGCUGUGGUCGACACCCCCAUGAGGUGUUCAACAACAUUCAGCAAUGGAGAGCCUCAUCGCUGAGUGUCAGCUUUUAUUCUGUUGUGAAUACAGACAACAAUUAAAUUUGUACCAUUAGCUUACUCUCAAAAUAGGGAAAGUUGGACAUAGACAGUAUGCAGUAUCUUUUAUGAACACUUUCUGUUUCUUGAAAGGUGCUGGUCUGAACUAACACAUAACUUGGGGGAGAAAAAACUUUUUCCUUACUUGUUUGCACAUAUGAUUCAAAUGGAACAGAGACAGAAAAAUGCAACAAUUAUUAUGUAGCUGUGUGAAUGUGUGUUUAUUUCUUCAAAGAAAUGUUUAAUUGUUGAUCAGUUCUUACAUUCCAUUUCUUUUUUGUGUUUUCCCAAAUACAAAACCUGUAAUAAAUGUCGAUCUUUGUUUUAAAGAA